AACGAACGCUGGCGGCAGGCCUAACACAUGCAAGUCGAGCGCACCCUUCGGGGUGAGCGGCGGACGGGUGAGUAACGCGUGGGAACGUGCCCUUCUCUGCGGAAUAGCCUCGGGAAACUGAGAGUAAUACCGCAUACGCCCUUUGGGGGAAAGAUUUAUCGGAGAAGGAUCGGCCCGCGUUGGAUUAGGUAGUUGGUGGGGUAAUGGCCCACCAAGCCGACGAUCCAUAGCUGGUUUGAGAGGAUGAUCAGCCACACUGGGACUGAGACACGGCCCAGACUGGGGGGGGAGGAGGAAGUGGGGAUAGUGAGACAAGGGGGGCAACACGGAGGACGCACGGGGGAGUGAGUGAGGACGGGAGGAGGGUUGAAAAGCUGUGACAGAGGGAAAGAAAAAGACGGUACGAGCGGAAGAAGCCAGGGCGAAGGCAGAGCAGGCAGCAGGGGAAAUAGAUCGAAGAGAACACGUCUAAC
rnacentral:rRNA from 1 species